rnacentral:rRNA from 1 species
AGAGUUUGAUCCUGGCUCAGGACGAACGCUGGCGGCGUGCUUAACACAUGCAAGUCGAGCGGGGAACUUCGGUUCCCAGCGGCGGACGGGUGAGUAACACGUGGGUAACCUGCCUUACAGUGGGGAAUAGCCUUCCGAAAGGAAGAUUAAUACCGCAUAAUACUCAGAGACCACAUGAUCUUUGAGCCAAAGGAAUUUAUUUCGCUGUAAGAUGGACCCGCGGCGCAUUAGCUUGUUGGUGAGGUAACGGCUCACCAAGGCUUCGAUGCGUAGCCGACCUGAGAGGGUGAUCGGCCACAUUGGAACUGAGACACGGUCCAGACUCCUACGGGAGGCAGCAGUGGGGAAUAUUGCACAAUGGAGGAAACUCUGAUGCAGCAACGCCGCGUGAGUGAUGAAGGCCUUCGGAUCGUAAAACUCUGUCUUAUGGGACGAUAAUGACGGUACCAUAGGAGGAAGCCACGGCUAACUACGUGCCAGCCGCCGCGGUAAUAC